rnacentral:piRNA from 1 species
UCCCAGCCUAUACUAUUGUGC